GUGGCAGACGAUUCAAGAUUCAUUAGUGGCUACAAGAUGGAUUCUUGUAUCUUUUCGGCCUAAGUCCUGUCCAAAAUCAUCUACCAUGCUCUUUUGUGGAUUCUAUCCUAAAAUCUUUGAUUAGUAAGAAGAUUUCCCUCUCUAGGGAGGAGCUUCAUGCCAAAGAGCAAAAUUAUUGGCCGAGUGGGCCUACCUUCCACUACUGCUUCCGAUCAAGCAACUAGCAUCAACGAUGCAGUGGCUCCAAGAGAGCCUGCUCCUAUUUCAUCAUCUACAUUAGAGGAUGCUUCCCCCAAGCUAGAAGUACCCUUAAGGAGGAUUGCAAAGGGUGGAGACUCACUCUUGCUCCUUCCCCCAAAAGACAAGUAAUAGCUAUCCCAGAGGAUGAUACUUCUGAGGCGAGGCAAACACAAUCCCCAGAACCCACCUUAUCGGCUCUUUAUCUGAAUCUUAGGUUAUAUAGUCCUAUGCAGGCUAGGGAAGACUCAUCCUUGCCGAGUGAUCCUCCAGCUCCUAAUGUUUUGCCCUCUCUUCCAGGAAAAUCUAGUGAUGUCAUGCCAAAAGAGCUCGACUCAUCCCCUAUGCUUUUUUUGUCAACCUUCUACCCCAAGUCCUAUCUCCCUCAACUAUCUUCCUUCUAUUACCUUACCUUUUCUGCUAGGUAGACGUUUAGUAAAUGCUUGGUCCGACACCCAAAAAUUAUUUGGCGGGCUCUCUCUUAAGGAGCUAUCAGAUGAGUUGGAAUAUGCGCAAACUAGGGGAUGGGAUUUUAGCAUGCAUGCCACUCAAUGCUUCCAUGAUUUAUCCCAAGAAAAUGAGCUGUUAAAGCAACAAAAUUCCACGAUGACGAGUGCCAGCUCUUCCAACCAAGCAAAAGAAUUAUCAGCUCAACUCCAGGAAGCUCAAGGGCUAACCAAAGAUGAGCUCGAGAGGGCAACCCAAUUGAAGACUACUCUAGAUUCCAAUGAGGCUCAACUUCGGGCGGAAAUAAGUGUUUGGGAGAGUAUACAAGUGCAAUUGGCCGAACGAACUGAAGAGAAUGUUCGCCUAUCCACUCAGUUGAAAGCAUGAGAAGUCUCACACACUGUUGAAUUAACAAUUAAAACUUCUAAAUUAGCAACUCUAAAUGCCAAGAAAAACUCCUUGCUAUUAGACCUGGCGUGUACCCAGUCUAAUCUGGUAUCUACUCAAAUCAAAGUGAAAGCAAUUUAGUCAGAGUGGACAAACUACUGUGAAGGGGAGGAGGAUUCGUUCCAGGUAAGGAAGAAGGAGCUCUUUACCACUCAAGGGUUCAAUGCCCCAAUUGUUAAUUCCAUUGUCCAAGCGCUUAUCCUAGGAGAACAAGGCACUAUUGAGCAACUAAAUAAGGGUGGCUACUUAACUUCUACUCCUCCUGAUACCUUCCUGGACUAUAAAUGCAUAACUCAGAAUGCUUCCCCUGAUUUUCUUCCCAAAUUCAUAUGAUGUACUUUUAUUUCUUAUCUUUCUAUCUAUGAUCCACAAUGACUAUUACUAGGAUUAGCUUUUGAUUUACCUUAACUUUAGCAAGCACUUUCAUUUUAUAGUAGUUUCAUUUUUU